rnacentral:rRNA from 1 species
ACGUAGGGUGCGAGCGUUAAUCGGAAUUACUGGGCGUAAAGCGUGCGCAGGCGGUUCGCUAAGACAGGUGUGAAAUCCCCGGGCUUAACCUGGGAAUUGCGCUUGUGACUGGUGAACUGGAGUGCGGCAGAGGGGGGUGGAAUUUCAGGUGUAGCAGUGAAAUGCGUAGAGAUGUGAAGGAACACCAGUGGCGAAGGCAGCCCCCUGGACCGAUACUGACGCUCAUGCACGAAAGCGUGGGGAGCAAACAG